GGACUGCAAGAGAGGGGCGUAACUGGAAGGAGGCGUAACUUGAAGAAAGGGGCGUAACUUGAAGUUGUCCAAAUCACACAGAACCACGCGAGAUGUCAAAACGAGAUGUUAUUGGCAAGAUGGCCGCUUGUAUAUUGACAAGGGACAGAUGAGACACACGAGUGUAUAUCCGGUGCAGAGUGACUGAUGAAGGAAUGCUGCCAUCAAAGACUCUCAAUCUUUUGUGGUGGAGCAGGACCUGCAAGACAAGGUGACAGCGACAUUUGUGGAAAAAGGAAAACCUGAAACAAAAGGAUAAAGGACCUACAAUCCCCUGGAUCAACCUGGAGAAAAGAGCCUUGCUGAAGGACACACCGGUGACAAACCAGCAACCUUCUGCUGACCAGUUCAGUGGUUUAGCCCACUACAGAAGUAGUCAUGCUCAUGGAGAGCAGCACACGAAUGUUUGAAGCAGACACAGAUUAUCCCGCACAUGUUCUCCUGCUCUUGCCUCAAGGUUGUGUGGUUCAGGGGUGUCAUCAUGGUCUUCCUCAUCCUCUGGGUCAACGAUGUCCGCAUUGAGAAGAGCAAGGUUGUGAAGCACAGCGCAGCUGCAGAACUGGCUCAGCUGUGUUGAGAUGACUGUAGGAUGUGGGUUCACCGUCUGUAAAAACAUGAUUGUUAGAACAAUAAGUUUGAAUGAAGCUUUGUUUCAUCUGUUGUUGACUUGUAUAUUGUAUGUAUUUAUUGUGAUGCUUCCUUUUAUUCAUUCUUAUACUUAUUUAUUCAUGUUUCUUAUUGUUGUCAUUAAAUAAAAUAUAUUUUAAUGUAUUAAUUGCUUGACUGAAAAUUGAUGUAUUCACUUCGACUGCAUUUGUUCAACUAGUGUAUAUUCAUGUAUAGCCAUGUCAC